rnacentral:rRNA from 1 species
CCUACGGGAGGCAGCAGUGAGGAAUAUUGGUCAAUGGGCGCUAGCCUGAACCUGCCAAGUCGCGUGAAGGAUGACUGCUCUAUGGGUUGUAAACCUCUGUUAUAUGGGAAUAAAGUGCAGUAUGUAUACUGCUUUGCAUGUACCUUAUGAAUAAGGUUCGGCUAACUCCGUGCCAGCAGCCGCGGUAAUACGGAGGAUCCGAGCGUUAUCCGGAUUCAUUGGGUUGAAAGGGAGCGUAGGCGGGUUGGUAAGUGAGGUGUGAAAGUUUGGGGCUCAACCGUAAAAUUGCAGUUGAUACUGGCAUCCUUGAGUACAGUAGAGGUAGGCGGAAUGCGUGGUGUAGCGGUGAAAUGCUUAGAUAUCGCGAAGAACUCUGAUUGCGAAGGCAGCCUGCUGGACUGUAACUGACGCUGAUGCUCGAAAGUGUGGGUAUCAAACGGGAUUAGAUACCCCAGUAGUC